GGGGAAUAUUGGACAAUGGGGGGAACCCUGAUCCAGCCAUGCCGCGUGUGUGAAGAAGGCCUUUUGGUUGUAAAGCACUUUAAGUGGGGAGGAGGCUUACCUGGUUAAUACCUGGGCUAAGUGGACGUUACCCACAGAAUAAGCACCGGCUAACUCUGUGCCAGCAGCCGCGGUAAUACAGAGGGUGCGAGCGUUAAUCGGAUUUACUGGGCGUAAAGCGCGCGUAGGUGGUUAAUUAAGUCAAAUGUGAAAUCCCCGAGCUUAACUUGGGAAUUGCAUUCGAUACUGGUUAGCUAGAGUAUGGGAGAGGAUGGUAGAAUUCCAGGUGUAGCGGUGAAAUGCGUAGAGAUCUGGAGGAAUACCGAUGGCGAAGGCAGCCAUCUGGCCUAAUACUGACACUGAGGUGCGAAAGCAUGGGGAGCAAAC
rnacentral:rRNA from 1 species